rnacentral:rRNA from 1 species
UACGAAGGGAGCUAGCGUUGUUCGGAAUCACUGGGCGUAAAGCGCACGUAGGCGGAUUUGCAAGUCGGGGGUGAAAUCCCGGGGCUCAACCUCGGAACUGCCUUCGAUACUGUAAGUCUCGAGUCCGGAAGAGGUGGGUGGAAUUCCUAGUGUAGAGGUGAAAUUCGUAGAUAUUAGAAAGAACACCAGUGGCGAAGGCGGCCCACUGGUCCGGUACUGACGCUGAGGUGACGAAAGCGUGGGGAGCAAACAGG